rnacentral:misc_RNA from 1 species
UCUCCGUAGGUGAACCUGCGGAGGGAUCAUUACAGAGUUCAUGCCCUCCGGGUAGAUCUCCCACCCAUUGCUAUAACUACUCUCGUUGCUUUGGCGGGCCGCUGGGCCCUGCCCGGCCGCCGGCCCCGGCUGGCGCGUGCCCGCCAGAGACCUCACAAACUCUGAAUGUUAGUGUCGUCCGAGUUACUAUACAAUCGUUAAAACUUUCAACAACGGAUCUCUUGGUUCUGGUAUCGAUGAAGAACGCAGC